AUUGAACGCUGGCGGCAGGCCUAACACAUGCAAGUCGAACGAGUGGCGGACGGUUGAGUACUUUCUGGGAAACUGCCUGAUGGAGGGGGAUAACUACUGGAAACGGUAGCUAAUACCGCAUACCAUCAGAUGUGCCCAGAUGGUAUUAGCUAGUAGGUGGGGUAACGGCUCACCUAGGCGACGAUCCCUAGCUGGUCUGAGAGGAUGACCAGCCAAACUGGAACUGAGACACGGUCCAGAAUACUACGAGAGGCAGCAGUGGAGAAAAUUGCACAGUGGGCGCAAGCCUGAUGAAGCCAGGCCGCGUGUAUGAAGAAGGCCUUCGGGUUGUAAAGUACGUUAAGCGGAGAGGCGUUACCAGCAGAAGAAGCAACGGCUAACUCCGUGCCAGCAGCCGCGGGAAUAC
rnacentral:rRNA from 1 species